GGACUACCGGGGUAUCUAAUCCUGUUUGCUCCCCACGCUUUCGCGUCUCAGCGUCAGUCACCGUCCAGAGGGCCGCCUUCGCCACCGGUGUUCCUCCUGAUAUCUACGCAUUUCACCGCUACACCAGGAAUUCCACCCUCCUCUCCGGGACUCCAGUCUGCCAGUUUCCAAUGCACUUCCGAGGGUGAGCCUCGGGCUUUCACAUCAGACUUAGCAGGCCGCCUACACGCGCUUUACGCCCAGUGAUUCCGAACAACGCUCGCACCCUCCGUAUUACCGCGGCUGCUGGCAC
rnacentral:rRNA from 1 species